CCACGAGCCGAAUUCGGAUUCUAACGGGUUCUAAUGAAAAAUGCAGGAGGAUCGGGGUCCAGUUCUCAGAAGAGGGGGCUGGGCUGCGCUGGGCUGGGCUGGUGUCUGGCUAACACAGAGGCUGAGGGAGGGAUGCGCUGGAAUGAACAUGUGGAGCGAGAAGAAGCCCAGACCAGGUUCUUUGUGUGUCUGUGGCCGACUGCCUUCCUCCAGCUGCAAGUGCAGAGAACGUGUGUCACCACAGGGCUCUUGCACUGUCCAGCACACACUCACGCAAGGUUUAUUUUUAUGAAUACAACGUAAAACCAAGAACAUUCCCAGUCCUCGUUAUCUUCCAUAAGAGCAUCUACCAAAUCUAACUGACAGUCCAAACCUGGACAGUCCCAAACCUGACAUGUUGCCCUCCUUCAAUACGAUGACGUCCCCUCCUGAUCAUGUCACUAUAUACUCCCAAUAAGUAUACUGGGUGGUCAUCUUUAUCCAUGUGCAUAUGCUUCUUUGGUAAAAUUUUUUAAAGCAAAUACUUAAAUUUCUCUAUCCCCAACCUCUUUGUCUUCUUAUUACUAGUUAAUUGGUCUUCUGGCUAAUCACUGGGCGGAUUUCUGUCAUCCCUCUGAAUGUAAUCUAUCUGGAAAAUACUUCCUAUCUGGCUCCCAAACCACAGCAAGACCCAGCACCAGAGAAGAAGUGGCUCCUUAUGGAUGCCUCAGCGAGGCUGAUGUCACAGCCAAACAAGAUGGUCGACUGAAAUGACUGAUGAAUGCAACCUGAGCUGACAGCUUUAAAUUUGGGAUGUGUUACUG
rnacentral:lncRNA from 1 species